UUAAAAAUUAAUUUUAUGCAUUUUUAAAUUCUGAAAAUUUUAUUAUAUGUUUCUUAUUUUAUUUUCAACCUUCUAUAAUUUUCUUGGCCAUUUAUUUGGUGUUUUGAAGGAUUUUAUGGAUUUUCCAUUUUUUUUCUAUUUUAAAAUUCAUUUAAAAAUACCUUUGAUGCAUUUUUAUUUCAUUUAAUUGAAUUUUAUAUUUGUGUGACCUUAUGAACUUAUAUUGGCCUUGGAUCAUGA
rnacentral:lncRNA from 1 species